rnacentral:rRNA from 1 species
GAUGAAUGCUGGCGGCGUGCCUAACACAUGCAAGUCGAGCGGCAGCGCGAGUAGUUUACUACUUGGCGGCGAGCGGCGGACGGCUGAGUAACGCGUGGGAACAUGCCCCAAAGUGAGGGAUAACUGCUCGAAAGGGUAGCUAAUACCGCAUAUGGUCUUCGGAUUAAAGGAUUUAUCCGCUUUGGGAGUGGCCUGCGUACGAUUAGAUAGUUGGUGAGGUAAUGGCUCACCAAGUCGACGAUCGUUAACUGGUCUGAGAGGAUGAUCAGUCAGACUGGAACUGAGACACGGUCCAGACUCCUAUGGGAGGCGGCAGUGGGGAAUAUUGGACAAUGGGGGAAACCCUGAUCCAGCAAGGCCGCGUGAAUGAUGAAGGCCUUCGGGUUGUAAAGUUCUUUUACCUGAGAAGAUAAUGACGGUAUCAGGGGAAAAAGCACCGGCUAACUUCGUGCCAGCAGCCGCCGUAA